GAUGAACGCUGACAGAAUGCUUAACACAUGCAAGUCUACUUGAUCCUUCGGGUGAUGGUGGCGGACGGGUGAGUAACGCGUAAAGAACUUGCUCUGCAGUCUGGGACAACAUUUGGAAACGAAUGCUAAUACCGGAUAUUAUGUGAGUUUCGCAUGAAAUUCAUAUGAAAGCUAUAUGCGCUGCAGGAGAGCUUUGCGUCCUAUUAGCUAGUUGGUGAGGUAACGGCUCACCAAGGCGAUGAUAGGUAGCCGGCCUGAGAGGGUGAACGGCCACAAGGGGACUGAGACACGGCCCUUACUCCUACGGGAGGCAGCAGUGGGGAAUAUUGGACAAUGGACCAAAAGUCUGAUCCAGCAAUUCUGUGUGCACGAUGAAGUUUUUCGGAAUGUAAAGUGCUUUCAGUUGGGACGAAGUAAGUGACGGAACCAACAGAAGAAGCGACGGCUAAAUACGUGCCAGCCGCCGCGGUAA
rnacentral:rRNA from 1 species